GCCUAUCUUCGGGGUGAGGUGCGAUUCCUCGUUCGGCGGUAAAUUCAGCCCUUUCUUCAACUCGUAUGCGAUGGAUGAGAAAGAGCUGGAUAAAGCCCGCGAGCCCCGUACCAGUCGUCCUGUUUCGCAGGACUCCGGUACAUGGCAGAACUUGUGAAAUUCAAGUGCCGACCGUAUAGACGGGAUGGAAGAAGAUAAAA
rnacentral:ncRNA from 2 species